AGGUGAGAGGGCAACUGGGCUGCGGUAUGUCACCCCGCCGAUAGCCAGCAUCCUUUGGACCAGUCUGGCUGGCUAGGCAGGUGUCUCCUUGCUCCUUGCGGCUCCAUGUGCAUCCGUCCCAAAGCUGUGACAUGUUGAAGAGGACAGCCACCCCCGACAGGAGGACGGGUCUGGUGUCGAGUAGCCGUGCUCCCCUGCUAGAACCUCCCAGCAAGCGCUCAAGGACAUGUUGUGUCUUGCCCUAUGCCAUCUUCCUGGGGCAGGCUGGUGGGAUAUUGCUUCAUCUUGGCCACUUUACUCCUACAGUUAGU
rnacentral:snRNA from 1 species